UUUAGAUUUUGAAGAUGCAAUAGAAGGCAACUGCUUAAUGGCCAUGCUGAAGCUGGAUACACAAGUGUCGCAGGCUACGGUCACUCUCUCGGAUGAUGAAGAGGAAAAGAAGGAUGAGGUAAAAG